rnacentral:rRNA from 1 species
CCUACGGGAGGCAGCAGUGGGGAAUCUUGCGCAAUGGGCGAAAGCCUGACGCAGCAACGCCGCGUGAGGGACGAAGGUUUUCUGAAUUGUAAACCUCUUUCAGCAGGGAAGAUAAUGACGGUACCUGCAGAAGAAGCACCGGCUAACUACGUGCCAGCAGCCGCGGUGAUACGUAGGGUGCAAGCGUUGUCCGGAUUUAUUGGGCGUAAAGAGCUCGUAGGCGGUUUGGUAAGUCGGUUGUGAAAUCCCCAGGCUCAACCUGGGGCCUGCAUUCGAUACUGCCAUGACUAGAGUUUGGUAGGGGACCACGGAAUUCCUGGUGUAGCGGUGGAAUGCGCAGAUAUCAGGAGGAACACCAGUAGCGAAGGCGGUGGUCUGGGCCAAUACUGACGCUGAGGAGCGAAAGCGUGGGGAGCAAACAGGAUUAGAUACCCUGGUAGUCCACGCCGUAAACGGUGGGCACUAGGUGUGGGGACUAUUCAACGGUUUCCGCGCCGACGCUAACGCAUUAAGUGCCCCGCCUGGGGAGUACGGCCGCAAGGCUAAACUCAAAGGAAUUGACGG